GGAGGAGGGCCAGACACAGAGGAAGUCAGCAAGGCUGUUUGGGUUGACUAUUCAAAGUUACAAUGAAUGAUGCUCCCAAAAGUACUCCUGCUACCUACCCUGAGCUCUAUAGUUUCACUUCUAUGUCAAACGUUCUGCAUUGUAACCUUGUAGGUCAAUCGAAACUUGGCCAAAAAGUAAUUUUUUUGUGUAUGAAAAUCCCUAAAUAAAGAAACUUCUUUGGUAACCCUUUUUGGGCCCCCUUCUAGGUUCAUUUUUCAGGAGAACUAUUUGCUUUCCCUUCACAAUAAGUGCUGCUUUCUGCUCUUGCUCUACAAUAAACACGUUUUCUCUGUCUUCUGCUGACUCUAACUUGUAAUUCUUUCUGGGCUGAGAGAAGAACCCACUAGCUGGAUGGUAACGUCUGGGAUUGAAUGCAAGACAUACUGCCAUGUUUGGCCUUGGAAACGGGUCAGGAUUAAGGCCAGAAUGUGUGGGAUGGCCCAUACCAUUAGAACAUGGCUUAUGACCUUCAACACUUUAAAAAACUGAGGUGAAGCCAAGCACAGUAGACAUGCGUGCUUCUAUAACGGGCAUCUCUUUGGAAUGUGUGUAUGAACAGGUAUUUGCAGUACCCUCUCACGCUUACAACUGCUUUCUUUUUUUUUUUUUUUAAAUCCACGGACCUGAGUCACCAGCCCCUUAUUUACAACUACUGGUGUAACAAUGCUGUGUAAACUCCAAACUGUUGCCUGACUGACGCCUGAUGCCAUGAUGAAUACACAAAGGCAGAAGACAUUUCUGUCACAUUAUUCUAAGAAAAUCGAAGUGUGUCAGCCUCUCCCAGUGUGAGUAGAGACUCAAGCGCAGACAGAUCUCCAACCCCGAUUUUUUUCUCCUGCUGGUAAAUGAAGAAUUCAGAGCUAAAGCAUCAUAGACAUAAAAAAAGGAAGAAAAAAUCAAGGAGCUUGAAACAUGAUUCCAGCAAUGUAGCAAGCAGGAGCAUGACCCCUCAGUUGGCACGUCAAUUUCAGGAACUCUUCGAACUCGUGCACCACCAAAUUGAGAGCCAUCCCAACCGCUAUCCCAACAUGUACGACCCCACCCCAGACGAAGUUCUGUUUUUGAUCCAACUGCUUUACCUGCACUAAGUGGUAAACAUCACCACUAUCACCUUCGUUUGGGGAGCCUCUGCCUCUACCACCACCUUUCUUAGGAGAACCCUUUUAAGACUCACCACCUGCUCCAUCAUAUAGAGAGAGGCAGAAACAAAUGAAUAAAUGUGAAGGGCAUAUGUUGA